UAUUUGGUGUAGAUUUUUCCAGUAUUUACAAUCAUUUGUAACUGCUUUACAGUUACAAGUAAGGAAGGAAUAACUUAUGCACAUUCAAUGGUUUUUAGUAAAUUUAGAGAGUUGUGCAACCAUCACCACAAUCCAUUUUGGAACAUUUCUGUCACCCCAGAAAGAUCCCUUGUGCCCAUUUGCAGUCACUCCCUGUUCCUAGUCUCAGCCCCAGACAAUUUAUAAUCAUUUUGACUGAAAAAUCUGAGUCAAACUCUCUUCCCCCAAAUGUUUUGCUCUUGAAAAUAAAGCUGCGAGAACAUUCGUAGAGGAAAAUUCGACAGCGAUCUAUGCUGAUUCAGAGGAGGUCCAGGUCUCUGAGCUGGACCCCGCAUGGCACAGGUGACGUGGGAGUGGACGAGCGCCAUACUAAGACCCUAUGACCACGGAGUCCACAGCAAGGCAGGGACCCGUCGCUCCCAGCAACGGCCACUUCAGGAGCUCUGCCCCUCUCGUGACAGCUAAACUAGUUAACUGAUCUUAAGUUAAUUCUCUUUUUCCCACCGUUUUCUCACCCUCCCUCCACCCAGCGGAAAGGCUAACUAGAAUUGAGUAGCUCAGGAAUAAACAGCAGGAGAUGGAAAAGAAAGGGUUAUGAAGUUACAGGUCAUUCACCCAACUUCUCAAGGAAGGAGCCCUUUGCUCAGUUUUCCUGCCUCCACAUGGGUCUCCCAGAGUCCGGGAGCUCACUAUUUGAAGGUCUCUGUCUGUCUUUUCCAGAUCCAGCAGCCCGUUUCCUCCAAUGCAUCACGUAAUAUGCUAUGGACAUGUUCUUCUGGAUGUACUUAUCUGAACACCUGAAUACACUUCCGGGGGCCUCUCCCAUACACGUAGGACUCUCCUUCUGCUGUGAACUGACCACCCGGCAUGGUUCCCGCCCCUUUGGGAAGCUGCUCCCCAAAUCCAACUUCACAGAUGCAGUGAGUCAGAACCCAGAUCCAUGUUUUUAAAAUGAAACCCUGGUGGUAAUGCAGGAAGUAGUUGGUAAAGGUAAAAACUAGAUACCAGGAGACCGGGAAGAGAUCAUGCAACAAGCCAGGCAAGAGCAGCCAAGGGCCGGAAUAGGAGGGGGACCCGGAAGAAGCUGGGGAGGGCGGCCCUGAGAGGUGCUUAGGAAGAGGGGUGGGCAGAACCGCUGAGUGCAGCAUGGGGUCGUGAGCAGAACACGAGCUCACGCGGCCUCUCCUUCAGAGGCAGCACCUGCCUCACUUCAUCGCUGGCGGCUGGGCAGCCAGUCACUGGAAUAUUUCCUGAGGGCUUACCCGGCGCCAAGCUCUGAUCUAGGUGCCGGGAACACAGCCCAGACAGAGGCCAUGCCCUCUUGCAGCUUAGAGUCUAGCUGGAGAAUAAUGUAUUUUAGUAGACUGACCCAUAGUGGACACUUGAUAAAUGGUAGCUAUUAUUAUAAUCACUAAUAACAUGAUACUUAAAUAUAUAGUGACUGUGAGUUCUGUUUCGGCCACCUAACAUCCCUUCUCCUUCCGCUUGGUGAGCCAUCCGGUUGAUGUAGUAAAUGUAGGUACCAGCCCUCUGACUGUAGACGCCAACCAGCUUCCUGGAGGCGCUGCCAGCAGGCUUCCUCCUCCACCCGCCGCAGGCCCAUCAGGAAAUGAGAGCCUUGCUUGGACAUGUGGGUGCUCUCACUCGGGAUUUGACUCUCAAGCAAGGGACCACGUGGGCAGAAGCUACAAAGUUCGUUCAUCCAAGCAGUGAAGCCUGGGCCAGGCUAUUCGUGCUGCAGGAUUCUCCCUUCCAGCCUGGCCGUCUGUGAGAUGGAGAGGUCAAGGUCCAGGGGACUCUU
rnacentral:lncRNA from 1 species